rnacentral:lncRNA from 1 species
GGCACAAUGAAGUGUAAUAAAAUGAAGUAGGUCUGUAUUAUAUUUCUGGUCAUGAUUUACAGGUAAUAGUCAUAUCAUCUGUUUCUUUAUAAUUUCCACCAUUGUUUGGGAAUUGUAUCAGGACCCACAGAAGGCCUACUGUAAAAAACAAAAGUUAUAUCUCUUACCAAAAAAAAAAAAAAAAAAAAAACUGUGGCCAUAGCAGAUAUAUGUCUAAAAGCUGUUCAAUUAGUAAAGACUGUCCAAUUCUUAUCUUCUUUAUAUAAUCCUAUGGUAGAUUUCUAUAAUUUUAUGUUUGACUUGGCAUCGAUUUUUUUUUUUUUUUUUUUUUUUUUUUGAGUCUGAGUCUCGCUCUGUCGCCAGGCUGGAGUGCAGUGGUGCGAUCUCAGCUCACU